CGGCGGUUAAGGAAGUCUGUCAGGAGGUCGCGUUUCAUGUGUAUGUGUUUGUGUAUUAAAUGUUCAAUUUUAAUUAAAACAUAUUUUUUUGUCUAAUGAAAACGGAACAUUUGCUGCUCGGAGAGAUGAAGCUUGCGUUUUACAAGUCACACUGCAUCAUGAUCGUGCACUCUCACUGAGAUGUCUGGUUGCCACGGCAACAGCAGCAGCAUCACAGAGCUGCUGGGUGCGCUCUGCGACUGCAGCAUAUCUGGGUUGUCAUGGAAACGGCGCACUUUUGGGUCAGUCUCCCGGGAUGCGGCGCGCCGGUCACUGCGCAAGCGUGCGUACGGGGCUCUGCUCGCCGGCCUCUUCCAAGAUUGGGCGUCCAAACCAACACCGAACGCCCUAUCCAACACACCCGCCCAUAAUAAAAUACUGAUGAUCACAUUUGACCUGCGCGUUUCAGGUUGUGAUGAGGAGGCGGAGAGAUUGGAGGAGCUUCUGGGUCAGCUUUGGGACGGGGCAUCCUCUUCGGGUCUGUCUGAGCUCGAUUCCAUCCUGGAACUUCUGGUUCAGCUUGCCGGCUCCGUGGGUCCGCCCCCUUUGUCUUUCAGUCAUGACUAUAUGCGGCGGGUACGCCCCGUUCAGCGCAGGACCCCGCUGGGUGGGUACCUGAGCCAGGACAUGCAGCGAUUAGAGGAGAGGGCAUGGUCUCUGAUCUGUGGUGAGGAGUGGGGUGUGUUUGGGGGCAUUUGCAGGACGCUGAGCAUCAUGGAUGCACCACCAGGCACCGGACUGCUGGGACUAGGGCGAAGGCCGGACACAGAGGAAAGGUUUGAGAGAGAGACCAGACUGUCACUGUUUGGUGCCCUGCAGCACUCCAGGACAGGAGAUAUGGACAUUCGACUUGACCUGCCACCCAUCCCGAGUAACGCAGACCUCACUGGCUUGAGUAUACGGGUUCCUCUGUGUCUGGAUCAGUCUGAAGAUGAAGGCUUCCAGUCCGCCUCUAAUCUGACUCCAGACUCCCAGUCUGAGCCCAGUCCUGAGAUUGAUAUGUGGGAGGCACUGCGGACGUUUGUACCCGGCAGACGACGCUGUUGGGAGAACAUUGGCUGUCCUCCGGGUCAGAAGGAGCCCCCAUACCUGACAGAGGCGGGCAGGGAGGCGUUUGAUCAGCUGUACCGGCUGUGGGAAGGAGAGAUGAGGAAUAUUCUGUCCACACAGACCCCGUCACCCCUCCUGCCCCUGCCACUGGACAGUCAGAGUCAACUGGUUAAAGAUGUGCUCAAUGUGUUGAUCGGAGUGGCAUCAGCCACAUUUCCCCUCAAUGAGGUGAGUGUGCAGUUUGAUGUUCGUCCAGAUAUCUGUGUGUCCGGUACGUCUCCUGAGAGUGUGUCCAGACUGCUGGGUGAGCUGGCGCAGUACGGCACACACUACCUUCGGCUCAGCCGCUUCUCUCUGAGCAGUGACAGUCAGAAGGGACUCGUCUUCCAGGCUUUCACAGGUUGUCUGCGGCGGUACCUGCAUUACUACAGAGCAUGUGUGUUGAGCACCCCUGCCUCUCUGAGUCUUCUAACAAUCGGCUGUCAUUUCCGUAAACUGGGGCGUCAGCUCAGGUAUCUGUCAGAACUGUGUUGUGUGGAUGAAAUCACUGGUGUUGGACGAGCUACAUUUCCUGUAGGUGUGAAGCUGCUGUCGUAUCUGUAUAAUGAAGCACAGAGUAACUGCAGUAAUGAGAAUCAUCCUGUGCUGCUGUCUCUGUUGAAGAGCAGCUGUGAGCCAUACACACGGUUUGUUUCAGACUGGGUGUAUGGUGGAGUCUUCCGUGAUGUGUAUAAAGAGUUCAUGAUUGAGGUCAAUGAAGAUUAUUUGACUUACAGAGAUAAAAAUUUUUGGACACAGGGCUACACUCUCAUUUCACGUGAUGCUGAGGACUGUGUACCCGUGUUUCUCAAACACAUCGCGAAUGACGUGUACGUGUGUGGAAAAACAAUCAACCUGCUGAAAAUCUGCUGCCCUAAGCACUACAUCUUCUGGUCGGAUGUGCCAGUGCCCAGGAUCGCUGUGACGUUUUCUCUACAGGAAGUAGAGGAGAUUGAGAGAGACUGCGCCGUGUACCGUGGUCGAAUGGAGACGAUUGCCAGGCACAGCGCCAUUAGCAGGGAGGAACAGGCCCUGCGCACUGAAAGGGCUCGACAGGAGCUCAUUAACCAGGUCCGAGUGUCCGCGGCCAAAACCCUGGAGAGAAUCAGAGGCUGCCAGGUGUCACAGCGUCUGGCUGAAGAGGCCCAGAAGAGAGAGCGAUUCGAAGAGAUGAAACAGCAGCUGGAGCUGGACCAGGAGUGGCGUAGUACUGUAAGACGGAAAGAACAGGAAGAUGAUUUCAGUUACGCUCGAGAGCUCAGAGACCGAGAACAGAGACUGCAGGCCCUCGAGGAGCAGCUGGAGCGCCGGGCACGGAUGGACCUGAUCGCUCAAUACAGUCAGUUAUCAGAAGCGGCUGCCAGACGUGAGCUCAGAGCCAUGUGGAAGGUACAGAGGAUGAAACUUGAUGAGCACAGAGUGAACUUCCUGCAGCGUGACCAACAAAGCAUACAGGCGAAAUUGGAAAAGUUUCCUCUUGGUCAUGCGGGCCCACCUCCAGAAACAUCCCACCAAAAUGAGCAUUCACACGAAGAUACUGAGCUGUCUGAGCAACAGAAUCAAACAGUGCAAGCUGAAGAUCCUGCUAUCCCAGAAUUCUCUUCUCUUCCCUGCCCUCCAGGCAUUGUUGGAACUCAACCUCUGACAUUAGAAAAAACUGACAUCGCUAAUUUCCUCCCCAAGCCUCCAUGCAGUCCUAAAAGUGGUGCCAUGACCCGGGCCCUCCAUGACAUUGGCUCAGACUUGCCUGAAUCCACAGGAAGUACUUUUUCCAUUCUGCAAAAUUCUGAUCGUGUCCUCUCCCCCGAGAAACCCUGCCCACAGUUUCCACACCCAUCAUCCUCCCACAUACGUAUUGGAGAAAACGUCUCGGAGGUACCACAGUCCGUCCCUACUCCUAGUCUGCAUGGACAAGUGUCCAAGUCAAGCUUCCAGUUAGGCCAGUUCACUGCAGAGGUGCCCCUAGAUCAGCCAAAAGCUAGUGCUCAUGGACAUCCUUCAGACAGCUCUGUACAGCUGGGCGACUCUACUGCCUCAGGGCAGAACAAGUACUCAGCCCACUUGGAAUUAGAUACCCCCACCCAAACCACUGAAGAGAGACCUUGUAAGGCAGAAAAAAGGAGCCAAAAUGCAGACGGACAGGUGGCAGAAGAGACCGGAAAAGCACCCACGGUGGCCAGCAUGGGUUCAGAGCCAAAGCAGGCCGCCCAGGAACCAACAGAGGAAGCAAAGUCCUUUGGGAAUGUCAGCAAGCCGGAGGAAGAUCAUUCUAUGUCUCCUCUCAUCAGCUUCCAUGACACGUACUCUGGUACCCAUAUGCCAUUCCCUGAUGUCCGUAACGAUGCCUCCAAUUCCCAUUUAAGGCUAGGAGAACACAUGUCUUUAGUAGCCCCUAACGUCCAUGGUCAUGCCAAUGAUGCACAUGUAAGGGUAGGCGAGCACGUUUCUGAGGUAGCUACCCCCGUCCCUUCCCCUGGCUUCCAUGGCCACGCCUCAGACACCCAUAUAAGGGUAGGUGAACAUGUUUCAGAGGUAACUUCCCCCGUCCCCAUCCCUAACAUUCACUGCCAUGCCUCUGAUGCCCAUAUAAGUUUAGGUGAACACAUUUCUGAGGUAACUAUCCCUGUACCUGUCCCUAACAUCCAUGGCCACGCCUCUGAUGCCCAUAUAAGGGUAGGUGAACACUUUUCGGAGGUAACUACCCUCAUCCCUGCCCUUAACAUCCAUGGCCAUGCCUCUGAUGCCCAUAUAAGGGUAGGUGAACACAUUUCGGAGGUAACUACCCUCUUCCCUGCCCCUAACAUUCAUGGCCACGCCUCUGAUGCCCAUAUAAGGGUAGGUGAACACAUUUCGGAGGUAACUACUCUCAUCCCUUCCCCUAACAUCCAUGGCCACGCCUCUGAUGCCCAUAUAAGGGUGGGUGAACACAUUUCAGAGGUAACUACUCUCAUCCCUGCCCCUAACAUUCAUGGCCACGCCUCUGAUGCCCAUAUAAGGGUAGGUGAAAAUGUUUCUGAGGUAACCGCCCACAUUUUCAUCCCUAACAUCCAUGGGCAUGCCUCUGAUGCCCAUAUAAAGGUGGGUGAGUUUGUUUCAGAUCUCGCUGACUCUCGCCCACGCUGGAGCAAACAUGGGCACUCUUCGGACAGCACCCUUAAUGUGGGUUGUGUGAUGCCAGUUACAACCCCUUCACCCUUCUCAUUGCCUGGCAGUGCUUUCGGGCAUUCAUCUGACUCCACCCUGGGCAUGGGAUGUGUGGUUCGGGGGGAAGUUUUGCCCCAUGCCCCUUUGCCCGGCAGCACUUACGGACACUCUUCAGACUCCACGCUAAUAGUUGGGUGUGUUGUAUCGGGGGUUGACCCUCAACCCUCUCCCCUGCCUGGCAGUGCGUAUGGACAUUCCUCACAGUCAAGCUUGGGUAUCGGGUGCAUGGUCAGUGGUGUUGAAACCACUCGGCCAAACUUUAUUCCCGGCAGUGCCCUUGGGCAUACCUCAGACUCUGCUCUUGGAAUGGGCUGUGUGGUUGGAGGUGUGGUACCUGGGAGCUUGUAUGGUGAUGGACGAAUGGACAAAUUGGACCCAGCAUCAAAGAAACCAUACAACACAGAGACCCAGGUGCCCCCUAAUGAGCUGUUCUCCCUGGAUGAGGGUCUCUCUGCCUGGGCUCUGGGAUUGGGCCUGUCCCCUAAAGAGAGUCCAGAAGAUCACUAUCUUCUCAGCCUGGCCUCGCAAUAUCAAGCUGAGCAGUACCAGGACUCGUACGGCCUGAUGACUGCGGCCCCAGAAUCCGAACUUCUGCAGCAGGUGACACGGGGUCCUAAUGGGUUACCCGUUGAUCUCUCCCUGCACCAUGCCACAGAUGCCACUGCUGUUCAACUCAGUGAGAUGAUGCCACUUCCUGUUCUCAUGAAACACUCGGUCACCACUCCACUGAUAACACAUGUGUCUAUGGUGAAUAAGGCAGUGGUGGAUUAUUUUUUCGUGGAGUUGGGUGUGGAGAAGCAUUUCGAGACUCUGAGGCAUUUCCUGUUAAUGGAGGAUGGAGAGUUUGCACUGUCUCUGAGCGAUCAACUUUUCGAGAAGUUGGGCAGUGGUCAGACUCCUGGGGAACUGUUGACGCCGCUGGUGUUGAACUCCAUUCUGAACAAAGCGUUACAAUACAGCGUCCACGGCGACAGCGACCUGGCAUCUCACUUUACAUUUGCACUGCGAUACCUCCCUGAGAUCUUCCACCCUCAUGCUCCAGACUCACUGAACUGUCUGGAGCUCCGCUACAAGGUGGACUGGCCGGUGAACAUCGUCAUAACAGACAGCUGCCUGAAUAAAUAUAACAGGCUGUUCUCCUUCCUGCUGCAGCUGAAACACAUGGUGUGGUCCCUUCGAGAUGUCUGGUUUCACCUCAAGAGGACCGCGUUGGUGAAAGGUGCUGGUCGCUCCAUUCAGUUUCAUCAGCUUCAGCUGUACAGACACGAGAUGCAGCACUUUGUGAAGGUCAUCCAGGGUUACAUCGCUAAUCAGAUACUUCAGGUGUCCUGGAGUGAGUUUACACACAAACUGAGCAGCGCCAACGACCUGGAUGCCAUUCACCGCACACAUGCAGAAUACCUCAACAGAGCCAUCUUCAGGGGUUUGUUGACGGACAAAGCGGCUCCCGUUAUGAACAUCAUUCACAGCAUCUUCAGUCUGAUCCUGAAGUUCCGCGGGCAGCUCAUCGCACAGCCGUGGCAGCUCCAGCAGGGGGAGCCGGUGCACCCCAGUUUCAUCGCAAUGCAGCAGUCAUACAACACCUUCAAGUACUACUCGCGCUUCCUGUUCAAAGUGGUGACCAAACUGGUUGAUAAAGGCUAUCAGCCUCAUCUGGAGGACUUCCUGUUGCGGAUCAACCUUAAUAAUUACUACAAAGACGCUUGAUUCUCAUGUGUGAAUUUAGUCCCUUCUGUGCCCGCUUCAGUAUUGACAUCAGCCAUUUGACAGACCUUCUCUCCCUCAGUGUUGCUCUCAAACACAAACACACUGAAGGAUGGUUCCCCGUCUCUGCCCUCCAGCACAAACCCCAUCAGUCUGCUGUUCUCCUGAUGAGCCGCAAACUGAGACACGUCCUU